GAAUAAGAAACAAAUUUUGUAUUUAGUUUCGACCUAAUCUUAGGUGUUAAGACCACCCUUAUUUA
rnacentral:tRNA from 1 species